GAUGAAGAACGCAGCGAAAUGCGAUAAGUAAUGUGAAUUGCAGAAUUCAGUGAAUCAUCGAAUCUUUGAACGCACAUUGCGCCCGCCAGUAUUCUGGCGGGCAUGCCUGUCUGAGCGUCAUUUCAACCCUCAUGCCCCUAGGGCGUGGUGUUGGGGAUCGGCCAAAGCCCGCGAGGGACGGCCGGCCCCUAAAUCUAGUGGCGGACCCGUCGUGGCCUCCUCUGCGAAGUAGUGAUAUUCCGCAUCGGAGAGCGAUGAGCCCCUGCCGUUAAACCCCCAACUUUCCAAGGUUGACCUCAGAUCAGGUAGGAAUACCCGCUCAACUUAAGCAUAUCAAUAAGCGGAGGA
rnacentral:misc_RNA from 1 species